GAUCUCGUAGCUCAGCUGGCUAGAGCACUUGACUUUUAAUCAGGGGGUCCUGGGUUCGAGUCCCAGCGGGAUCA
rnacentral:tRNA from 1 species